UAUUUUGUGUGCUGUUUUGGAACAUUGUAGAAACAACAAUAUUUUUCGUCUAAUCAAAUCUGAUUUUUUGUUGAAUUCAACAAAUAAAAUUAUUAGCCGGGGAACAAUAAUUAUUUUUAUUGUUUUUAUACAUAAUAUCAUUGAGAUUAAAAAACAUUUCUCUGCGUGUUACUAUAUGAAAAGUUGUUCAAUGUUUUUCUUAGAUUUUGUGCACACACAUACGCACACACAUACAUACACACGGACAGACGGACAUUUGUUCAGCUUUUCGAGCUGAGUCGAUUGGUAUAUAACACUAUAGGUCUCCGAGGCUUCUAUAAAAAGCUCGUUUUCGGAGUGAAAUGAUAGCCUUUCGGUACAACUUUGUUGUACGAGAAAGGCAAAAAAUAUAUGAAGACCCACACUCAAAAUAAUUUUCACUUACACGGAUAAAAAUGAAAAAGCUAUUUAGCUUAUUCUUUAUUCCUUUUCAAGCUUUAUUGAAUUUUAAUUAUUUCAACGCUUUUAAAUUAGAAUAGCAUGAUUUUGUUUUAUGCAUUGUAAUGCUUUUCUAAAAUUUAAUCAUCCAAUUGCUUAUCAAGUUACUCUCGGGACUUGACAAAUUUUUUUUCUUAAGUUAGCAUCCAUAUUCUACAUUUUAUUCUAAAUUUUAUAAGGAUCGGCCGAAAUAAUAGAAUACCGCGUCGAACGGAAGCUGAAUCGAAUCUUCAACCGCAAAAAGCCAUCGUGUUCGCGGCCUUCCUCGAAGUCUACGGCCUCUUCCGGGAAGGAUAUAAAAUUGGUUCUAAAUACGCCUAAGCGAGUGCCAACAGAUCAAAUUUCGAUCGACAACAUCGAUGAUGACUUUUUUUAAACAACAUUGUUGUAUUUGGAGGCGAAAUCAUCAACGAGUCGAGUUCCUGUCAGUCCUAGACCACUAACAUCUAUAGCCACCUUUCCGGAUCGAGAACGAAGGAGGUUCAAUCUGUCCAAGGAAGGCGGCCAUUGAACAGUGUAUUCCGUCAGGAUAUCUCCGGUCAGAAGAAGAAGAAGAAGAUCUCCGAUCAGAUAAUAGCUUUUAGUCUCCCAGCUCCAAUUCCUCAGCAAGCUACAGGUAUCAGAUACUGCUCCAUUUAACACUGGUGGAAAAACAGAUGCUUUUGGGUCAACCAUCUAAUCACUUGGGUAGAAGAUUACGAAGCGCUAAUGGAAUAUCUCAUCAGUCGAGCAUGCUCAAAACGGGAUUACAUUCACCCUGACUACGACACAUGUCCACCAGAAAAAUGUAGAAACCUUUGCUCCGAAAAAUAUAAUUUCUGAAACAAAUG